rnacentral:rRNA from 1 species
UACAGAGGGGGCAAGCGUUGUUCGGAAUUACUGGGCGUAAAGGGCGCGUAGGCGGCCUGCUAAGUCGAACGUGAAAUCCCCGGGCUCAACCCGGGAACUGCGUCCGAUACUGGCAGGCUUGAAUCCGGGAGAGGGAUGCGGAAUUCCAGGUGUAGCGGUGAAAUGCGUAGAUAUCUGGAGGAACACCAGCGGCGAAGGCGAUUUUCUGGGUCAUUACUGACGCUAAAUUGCGAAAGCUAGGGGAGCAAACAGA